AGGAGAAGCGUGACGUCUACGACCGCUAUGGCAAGGAAGGCCUCAUGGGAGCAGCAGGGCCUGGGGGACCAAGAGCCGACGCGGGAGUCCCCGAAUUCACCUUCACCUUCCGCAGCGCCCACGACGUCUUCCGGGAGUUCUUCGGCGGGCGGGAUCCCUUCGCUGACCUCUUCGAUGAGAUGCUGCCGUUCUCAGAGCUGCGGGGAACUGGCCUCCGAC